rnacentral:rRNA from 1 species
UACGAAGGGAACUAGCGUUGUUCGGAAUCACUGGGCGUAAAGCGGGCGCAGGCGGACUAUCCAGUCAGGGGUGAAAGCCCAAGGCUUAACCUUGGAAUUGCCUUUGAAGCUGAUAGUCUGGAGUGUGUGAGGGGGUAGCGGAAUUCCGAAUGUAGAGGUGAAAUUCGUAGAUAUUCGGAGGAACACCGGUGGCGAAGGCGGCUACCUGGCACACAACUGACGCUGAGGCCCGAAAGCGUGGGGAUCAAACAGG